rnacentral:siRNA from 1 species
GUCUCGUGUUUUUCAUUUCACACA